UACGUAGGGUGCAGGCGUUAAUCGGAAUUACUGGGCGUAAAGCGUGCGCAGGCGGUCUGCUAAGAGAGGUGUGAAAUCCCCGGGCUUAACCUGGGAACUGCGCUUCUAACUGGCAGGCUAGAGUGUGGCAGAGGGGGGGUGGAAUUCCACGUGUAGCAGUGAAAUGCGUAGAUAUCUGGAGGAACACCGGUGGCGAAGGCGACGAUCCU
rnacentral:rRNA from 1 species